CUGCAGCGGACUUCGGUCCAAUGCUUUGUGAAACUUAGUGGCGAACGGGUGAGUAACAGGUAGACAACUUGCCUCAAUGACUGGGAUAACAUCGGGAAACUGGUGCUAAUACCGGAUAGGAUAUAGAUUCGCAUGAAUUUAUAUUUAAAGAUGGUUCUGCCAUCACAUUGAGAGAGGUCUGCUUCGUAUUAGCUUGUUGGUGAGGUAAUGGCUCACCAAGGCGAUGAUGCGUAGCCGAGCUGAGAGGCUGAUCGGCCACACUGGAACUGAGACACGGUCCAGACUCCUACGGGAGGCAGCAGUUAGGGAUAUUCGGCAAUGGACGAAAGUCUGACCGAGCAAUGCCGCGUGAAUGAAGAAGUAUUUCGAUAUGUAAAGUUCUGUUGUAAGGAAAGAAUGAUAGUGAUAGGAAAUGAUCAUUAUUUGACGGUACCUUACCAGAAAGCCCCGGCUAACUACGUGCCAGCAGCCGCGGUAAUACGUAGGGGGCGUGCGUUAUCCGGAAUUAUUGGGCGUAAAGGGUGCGUAGGUGGCCUUACAAGUCUGAGUUGAAAGCCCACGGCUUAACCGUGGAGGGUGCUCGGAAACUGUAAGGCUUGAAUCCAGAAGAGGCAAGUGGAAUUCUAUGUGGAGCGGUGGAAUGCGUAGAUAUAUGGAGGAACACCAGUGGCGAAGGCGGCUUGCUGGUCUGGGAUUGACA
rnacentral:rRNA from 1 species